rnacentral:rRNA from 1 species
UGCGGAGGCGGUUCGUUAAGUUGGAUGUGAAAACUCUGGGCUCAACCCAGAGCCUGCAUCCAAAACUGGCGGGCUAGAGUUCUGGAGGGGGUAGCGGAAUUCCUGGUGUAGCGGUGAAAUGCGUAGAUAUCAGGAGGAACACCGGUGGCGAAGGCGGCUACCUGGACAGAAACUGACGCUGAGGCACGAAAGCUAGGGGAGCAAACA